UGGGGAAUAUUGGACAAUGGGCGCAAGCCUGAUCCAGCCAUGCCGCGUGAGUGACGAAGGUCUUCGGAUUGUAAAGCUCUUUUUGGCAGGGACGAUAAUGACGGUACCUGGAGAAUAAGCCCCGGCAAACUUCGUGCCAGCAGCCGCGGUAAUACGAAGGGGGCUAGCGUUGUUCGGAAUUACUGGGCGUAAAGCGCACGUAGGCGGAUUGUUAAGUCAGAGGUGAAAUCCCGGAGCUCAACUUCGGAACUGCCUUUGAUACUGGCAAUCUAGAGUCCGGAAGAGGUUAGUGGAAUUCCCAGUGUAGAGGUGAAAUUCGUAGAUAUUGGGAAGAACACCAGUGGCGAAGGCGGCUAACUGGUCCGGUACUGACGCUGAGGUGCGAAAGCGUGGGGAGCAAACAGGAUUAGAUACCCCCGUAGUCCCUGAGCGGGCUGGCAAGGCGCAU
rnacentral:rRNA from 1 species